UACGUAGGGGGCAAGCGUUGUCCGGAAUCAUUGGGCGUAAAGAGCGCGUAGGCGGUCCGGUAAGUCCGCUGUAAAAGUCCAGGGCUCAACCCUGGAAAGCCGGUGGAUACUGUCGGGCUAGAAUCCGGAAGAGGCGAGUGGAAUUCCUGGUGUAGCGGUGGAAUGCGCAGAUAUCAGGAGGAACACCGAUGGCGAAGGCAGCUCGCUGGGACGGUACUGACGCUGAGGCGCGAAAGCGUGGGGAGCGAACAGG
rnacentral:rRNA from 1 species